AACGAACGCUGGCGGCAGGCUUAACACAUGCAAGUCGAGCGCCCCGCCAGGGGAGCGGCCGACGGGUGAGUAACGCGUGGGAACGCACCUUUUGGUUCGGAACAACUCCGGGAAACUGGAGCUAAUACCGGAUAAGCCCUAACGGGGAAAGAUUUAUCGCCGAAAGAUCGGCCCGCGUCUGAUUAGCUAGUUGGUGAGGUAACGGCUCACCAAGGCGACGAUCAGUAGCUGGUCUGAGAGGAUGAUCAGCCACACUGGGACUGAGACACGGCCCAGACUCCUACGGGAGGCAGCAGUGGGGAAUAUUGGACAAUGGGCGCAAGCCUGAUCCAGCCAUGCCGCGUGAGUGAUGAAGGCCUUAGGGUUGUAAAGCUCUUUUGUCCGGGAAGAUAAUGACUGUACCGGAAGAAUAAGCCCCGGCUAACUUCGUG
rnacentral:rRNA from 1 species